rnacentral:misc_RNA from 1 species
UCCGAGUUGACCCCGGCAGUCUCCUAUGAGUCCCCGCCAUAACGCGCUGGCAACAUAGAACGAGGGUUGCGCUCGUUGCGGGACUUAACCCAACACCUCACGGCACGAGCUGACGACAGCCAUGCACCACCUGUGAAGGUGCUCCGAAGGGAGGCCGUGUUUCCACGACUGUCACCUACAUGUCAAGCCCAGGUAAGGUUCUUCGCGUUGCGUCGAAUUAAACCACAUGCUCCGCUGCUUGUGCGGGUCCCCGUCAAUUUCUUUGAGUUUUAACCUUGCGGCCGUACUCCCCAGGCGGAUGACUUAACGCGUUAGCUGCGCCACCGAAACGCUAAGCGCCCCGACAGCUAGUCAUCAUCGUUUACGGCGUGGACUAC